rnacentral:lncRNA from 1 species
UAGAUGUUUGUUAUAUACUUACUUAUUAUAAAAAAUACUUUUUUUUUACAAUAAUCAUGCUUUACUUUUCUUAUUCAGACUCCUUUCUAAAGAUAAAGUCCUAGAAGUAGGAGAGCUGGGUCAAUGGAUACAUCCUUUUAAUGACACUGAAUACAUAUUGCCAAAUUGCCCUUAAGAAGAUCUCACUAUCAAAACAUUGAAGGUACAGGAUCACGAGCAUGAGGCCUUGUGGUGUGUCCAAGAGCUCUGCUCAGAGUGGAAGGUGGCAUGGAGGUCGUGGCUAGGACACUUUGAAGCAAACCGACAAUAUCCUUUGCAAUACUCUAUCUACGAUUGAUUUCUCAUCUUCACUUCUAAAUCCAUGAGAGAAACCACUGCUCAUCUGCCAGCCUCACAGCCAGAGCCACUUCAGCUACCAUCCCAGAAAAGCCCACCUAUCAGGAUUCUGGACAUUUUCCUCAGAGACCCUUGGGCUUCCUUUCUAAAUAAAU